rnacentral:rRNA from 1 species
AGAUUGAACGCUAGCGGGGUGCUUUACACAUGCAAGUCGAACGGCAGCGCGGACUUCGGUCUGGCGGCGAGUGGCGAACGGGUGAGUAAUAUAUCGGAACGUGCCCAGUAGCGGGGGAUAACUACGCGAAAGCGUGGCUAAUACCGCAUACGCCCUACGGGGGAAAGGGGGGGAUUCUUCGGAACCUCUCACUAUUGGAGCGGCCGAUAUCAGAUUAGCUAGUUGGUGAGGUAAAGGCUCACCAAGGCGACGAUCUGUAGCUGGUUUGAGAGGACGACCAGCCACACUGGGACUGAGACACGGCCCAGACUCCUACGGGAGGCAGCGAGGUGGGAAUUUGGACAAGUGGGGGAAACCCUGACUCCGAGCCAUCCCGCGUGUGCGAGUGAACGGCCGUUACGGGUUACGUAAGGUCGUACGUUUUCGGACGAAGGAACGAAACGGCGU